GACGAACGCUGGCGGCGUGCCUAAUACAUGCAAGUAGAACGCUGAAGGAGGAGCUUGCUUCUCUGGAUGAGUUGCGAACGGGUGAGUAACGCGUAGGUAACCUGCCUGGUAGCGGGGGAUAACUAUUGGAAACGAUAGCUAAUACCGCAUAAGAGUAGAUGUUGCAUGACAUUUACUUAAAAGGUGCAAUUGCAUCACUACCAGAUGGACCUGCGUUGUAUUAGCUAGUUGGUGAGGUAACGGCUCACCAAGGCAACGAUACAUAGCCGACCUGAGAGGGUGAUCGGCCACACUGGGACUGAGACACGGCCCAGACUCCUACGGGAGGCAGCAGUAGGGAAUCUUCGGCAAUGGACGGAAGUCUGACCGAGCAACGCCGCGUGAGUGAAGAAGGUUUUCGGAUCGUAAAGCUCUGUUGUAAGAGAAGAACGAGUGCGAGAGUGGAAAGUUCACACUGUGACGGUAUCUGACCAGAAAGGGACGGCUAACUACGUG
rnacentral:rRNA from 1 species